UAGCAUACUUGUAGACCUUGCCUGACUCUGCUCGUGGACAGGCAGGGGGGACAGUGUAUGCAAGAGUAAUUUGGAGUUAAUAUCAGCUUUAUUCAGCUUAAUCAGUGGCUGGAUAUGCUGCAGUAUUCAUACAUCC